UACAGGGGGCCCGAGCGUUAAUCGGAAUCACUGGGCUUAAAGGGUGCGUAGGCGGAUCAGGAAGUGUUUCGUGAAAACCCCCGGCUCAACCGGGGAAUUGCGGGGCAAACUCCUGAUCUUGAGGGAAGUAUGGGCGGACAGAACUAUCGGUGGAGCGGUGAAAUGCGUAGAUAUCGAUAGGAAUGCCGAUGGCGAAGGCGGUCCGCUGGGCUUCUCCUGACGCUCAGGCACGAAAGCGUGGGGAGCAACAGG
rnacentral:rRNA from 1 species